rnacentral:misc_RNA from 1 species
AACGCAUAUUGCACUCCUUUGGAGUAUGCCUGUUUGAGAAUCUAUAGUAUUUCUUUCUCCGAUAUGGUUUUUAUUAUACCGGAGAAGAUAUGAAGUCUUCCCAUUCGUAUGAUUGGGUACUUUUAAAUAGAUUGCUGCUUUUAGGUUGAGAGUGCUUGACGCUCUAAUCAUUCGUACGCAGAAAAGUAUGUGAAUGCAUUCAUUUGCUCAUUAUGCCGAUUAUGUGACGAUAGAGAAUAGUUCUCUUCUGAAAAGUAGUUCAUAACCUUAAAAACUUCUUUUGAAGUUUUGAACCAUGGUCUCAAAUCAGGUAGGAAGACCCGCUGAACUUAA